GACGAACGCUGGCGGCGUGCUUAACACAUGCAAGUCGAACGGAAAGGCCCUGCUUUUGUGGGGUGCUCGAGUGGCGAACGGGUGAGUAACACGUGAGUAACCUGCCCUUGACUUUGGGAUAACUUCAGGAAACUGGGGCUAAUACCGGAUAGGAGCUCCUGCUGCAUGGUGGGGGUUGGAAAGUUUCGGCGGGUGGGGAUGGACUCGCGGCUUAUCAGCUUGUUGGUGGGGUAGUGGCUUACCAAGGCUUUGACGGGUAGCCGGCCCGAGAGGGUGACCGGCCACAUUGGGACUGAGAUACGGCCCAGACUACUACGGGAGGCAGCAGUGGGGAAUAGUGCACAAUGGGCGGAGGCCUGAUGCAGCAACGCCGCGUGCGGGAUGACGGCCUUCGGGUUGUAAACCGAUUUCGCGUGUGACGAAACGUGAGUGACGGUAAUAGGUAAAGAAGCCCCGGCUAACUACGUG
rnacentral:rRNA from 1 species